GACGAACGCUGGCGGCGUGCUUAACACAUGCAAGUCGAACGGAAAGGCCCUGCUUUUGUGGGGUGCUCGAGUGGCGAACGGGUGAGUAACACGUGAGUAACCUGCCCUUGACUUUGGGAUAACUUCAGGAAACUGGGGCUAAUACCGGAUAGGAGCUCCUGCUGCAUGGUGGGGGUUGGAAAGUUUCGGCGGUUGGGGAUGGACUCGCGGCUUAUCAGCUUGUUGGUGGGGUAGUGGCUUACCAAGGCUUUGACGGGUAGCCGGCCUGAGAGGGUGACCGGCCACAUUGGGACUGAGAUACGGCCCAGACUCCUACGGGAGGCAGCAGUGGGGAAUAUUGCACAAUGGGCGGAAGCCUGAUGCAGCAACGCCGCGUGCGGGAUGACGGCCUUCGGGUUGUAAACCGCUUUCGCCUGUGACGAAUCGUGAGUGACGGUAAUGGGUAGAGAAGCACCGGCUAACUACGUG
rnacentral:rRNA from 1 species